GACGAACGCUGGCGGCGUGCUUAACACAUGCAAGUCGAACGAGUGGCGAACGGGUGAGUAAUACGUGGGUAACCUGCCCUCUUUUCGGGAUAAGCCAUGGAAACGGGGCCUACUACCGAACAAAGGGGGUUGGGCUCGCGGCCUAGCUGCUUGCUGGUGGGGUGAUGGCCUACCAAGGCGGUGACGGGUGGCCGGCCUGAUAGGGAGACCGGCCACGUUGGGACGGGGAGACGGCCAAGGGUCCUACGGGAGGGAGCGGUGGGGGAUAGUGCGCAAGGGGCGAAAACCUAAUGCAGGGGCGCCGCGUAGGGGAUGAAGGCUGUCAGGUUGUAAACCUGUUUCGCUAUCGAACGGGUAGGGGGAGAAGAAGCGCCGGCUAACUACGUGCCAGCAGCCGCGGUAAUUC
rnacentral:rRNA from 1 species